AAACCCAAUUUGAAACUUCUUUCAUUCCAAUUAUGAAAAGAUAUGAUGGUAUGCCUCUGCUGCUAGUUCAUGGAUACCUAUGGUUUCAUAACAACAUGUGUUUGAAGUCAAGGGUUUGCAUGAACUAGGAGAUGAGUUACCUUGAUUUUUUGGUAUUGGAGUGAAGGAAGUUCCAAAUGGUAUCACA
rnacentral:pre_miRNA from 1 species